GGGAAGUGGACAGACACUGAGCAGUCUGGGGGCUCUCACACACCGAGGGGCGGCUGAUAUCCAUCCGCUGCUGCGGGCAGCGCACCUUCCCCGCCCCGCCGCCCCCGACCCCUGGAUCCUAGCCCCCACCGCCAACCCUCCCCGGGUCCCAUAGAUUGCAGGGCCAGCAAUGAGGGGGUGGUCGCCGCGGAGGUCUGCAGAGGCGCGCUGCUGUGAGCCCGCCCCUUAGGCUGGGGCUCCUCCCGGCCCCGCCCCCUUUGGGUCGGAACUAGGGUGGGCCGGGGAGGGGGCGUCGAGCCCAUUCGUGUCGUAUCCCUCCGCCCCCCUUCCCGACACCCUCGCCGCGAGCGUUUCGUGCCGCAUCCUGCGCAGCCCCUGCCCAGUUUGGUGCAGCGGCGCGGGGGGCGGGACGCCUCUUUGCGAUUCUGGCCGCACGCAAGGCGGUGGGAAUCCGAGUGAGGAGCUCCGAGAGGAGGGGGGAGGCCAACGACCUGCACCUUGAGCCUGUGAAGGUCGUGACUCUUCUCCAGCUACCGACUGUUGACUGUUCUUUGGUGGGAAGGAUAGAAGUUCCUGAGGACCCCUGCUGUGUAGGCUGGCUGGCAUAGGUGGCGUCUGUGUAUGCAUGGGGAAACGCUCUUCACGCAGCUGGCCAAGCUCAUAUCAUGUGUCUGAAGGAGGCGGGUUCUGAGGAUCUGAGUCCUGAUGGCUGCUGAAGCUCCUACUUCAGGUUCAAGGGCAGCAGUUCUCAGGAGACUCCAACACUUCCCAUCUUCUAUGGGAUCUGAUUCCGGCUCAGGUGAGUUCAUGGAUGUGAUAAAAGCAUGUUGUGGGGUAGC
rnacentral:lncRNA from 1 species